rnacentral:rRNA from 1 species
GAUGAACGCUGGCGGCGUGCCUAAUACAGGCAAGUCGAGCGAACAGACGAGGAGCUUGCUCCUCUGACGUUAGCGGCGGACGGGUGAGUAACACGUGGAUAACCUACCUAUAAGACUGGGAUAACUUCGGGAAACCGGAGCUAAUACCGGAUAAUAUAUUGAACCGCAUGGUUCAAUAGUGAAAGACGGUUUUGCUGUCACUUAUAGAUGGAUCCGCGCCGCAUUAGCUAGUUGGUAAGGUAACGGCUUACCAAGGCAACGAUGCGUAGCCGACCUGAGAGGGUGAUCGGCCACACUGGAACUGAGACACGGUCCAGACUCCUACGGGAGGCAGCAGUAGGGAAUCUUCCGCAAUGGGCGAAAGCUUGACGGAGCAACGCCGCGUGAGUGAUGAAGGUCUUCGGAUCGUAAAACUCUGUUAUUAGGGAAGAACAAAUGUGUAAGUAACUAUGCACGUCUUGACGGUACCUAAUCAGAAAGCCACGGCUAACUACGUG